rnacentral:rRNA from 1 species
AGACUUCUGCAUCUUCAGGAUAUCCUAAUCCAACAUCGAGGUCACAACCCCCCCUUUCGAUGGGGCCUCUCAAGGGAGAUCAUGCUGUUAUCCCUGCGGUAACUAAUUCUAUUGGUCAGCUUUGCUGGGUCAAAACUAACCGGUCCCCCAGAACUAAGGAAGCUUUUCUUGUUCCCGGGYCGCCCCAACCAAAAACACCGAAUAGCUAUGAAUCUAUUAAAAUAUAAAUCUUUCCAUCCAUUUUUUAAGCUCGACAGGG